CCCUCAUUUCCUUCCUCAUUUCCUUCCUCAUUUCCUUCUUCCUCUUCUUUCUUUCUUUCAAACAAGGUUUCCUCUUUGAAACAGAAAGCAAUGGGGCAACAAUGCUCAGCAAAAGCAAAGCUUAUCCCACUUUCAGAACAUAGCCAAGGAGUUUUUGCAGUGCUGGCAUAGAGUUAAGUAUUUAAGCCAAUGUCUUUUGAUUUUUCAGCAAACUGUUUGGAAAGGAAUAAGACGGAUAGAAAAGCUUUAGUCUGGAAUUCUGAUCAGAAAAGUUACCCGUCUAUUUUAUGGCAUUUUUUCUUAUGUUUUCCUUUUCUUUAAAAAAAAAAUAUAUUAAAAAUUUAAAAAGGCAUUUUGCAGGCUUGCUUGCCUGAGCUCUAGGCUGGUUGGCGGCUGUUCUGGGAGUGCCUUGUGCUCCGGGACCGCUGGCUCCUUUGGAAGCAAACCCACUGAUCAGGAUUCUGGAUUCUGAUUGCUCCAAUGGGUAUCCCCUGGUACUGUGGGAUACUUUUGCUUUUUUAAAAGAAGGAUUUAAAUACACUUACAUUACGCAAACUGUGACCUAAUGGCAAUAAUUACCUCAAAUGUGGGCAUUCAUCCUGGUUUUAGCCUUUCUGAAAUCAAUGUAGCCAGCUUGAACUUUGAUUCAAAGACUCUGAACUCCAUAGGGGCGGAAUAGCGAUAAAUGCCCACCCUGGUCAUUGUUGCUUGAGUGAAUUCUGAAGACAGUGAAUCUUUAAAAAGAAAAAAAAUUAAACCAAGGAAUAGAUUACUCUUUUAUGUAUUUUAAUCAAUUGUGAUGUUAAAAUGCACAUGUAAGUAUAUAUGUUUAUAGCUACUGUAAAAUGCUUUGGCCUUCUAGAAGAUAUUUAAUGAGUCACAUUUUAAACCAAUAUGAACUGAAUAAUAGACUGUGGCUACUUAAACAGUUUUCUGGCUACAUUUUAUAGUUAUUACAGUGUUUUAUAGUUUACAUUUAAACUGGUACUUUUUAAGGGAAAUCUUGUGUUUUUAAGUGACACCUUCAAAAACUCAGUACAGCUGCCUCUUUUUUAAUUUUGCCCGUUAAAAAUGGAAAAGUACAAGUGUGUUUUUAAUAUGUAUAUUCUGUUUUGAGAUAUAACAUAGUGUUGGAAAGUCAGUCCAGAGAUGAAGUAAUCCAAUGUAUUCCAAAAAUCUGAUUGAAAAAAAACACUCCACCCGCUUUGAAGAUUUAGUUCAACAGAUAAGCUAUUUGUUUGCUUGUUUGAAUAACAUGCUUUAUCAGGCCUCCCUGGGUUGGAGCAGGGAGCACUGUACAAAAUUCACUGUUCUGUGUUAAGAUCCUCAUCUGGAUGAAGAUACCCACAUCAGGAGAAUGAAGGAUAUUCGUAAGAAGGAUUGUAUUGUACUGUUGAUAAAUCAUUAGCCAAACAAAUAAUUCCUGAGUUAGUGAAUGCUUUGAUUUCUUUGGGGGAUGGGGGGGUGGGGGUUGUUUCUAAGUGUGUGUGUGUGUGUGUGUGUGUGUGUGUGUGUGUGUGUUUGUGUGAGCCACUCAGAGGCAACGCUGUAAUUUGGCUUUCAUCUGUUGACCCCUUUCUUACAAAUGAUGCUCACCACCACAGAAAUGUGUUAAACCAGUAAACAAAAUACAAAGUUCACUGACCAUCUCCUUGUCAACUCUGUUUUCUCAGCACAUGCCAGUCCCCAUUAAUGCUGUUCCCCACUGCUGCUACCCUGUACUUUGCAUUUUGAUAUAUCAUAUUCCCCACUCCCCGGUCUCACUUAGCUGUCAAGUUUCUUCUGUUGUCUUCUCUCAUUUGGGUAAUCAGUGAACAUGAUAUAAAUGUCUGCUGGGCAAAAUGGUACUUCGAGGUCCCGAAAGUACAGGAAUUGGCAUGUAAAAAUAUGUAUAUGUACAUUUGGGCUUCGGCUGUGGAGCUGGGGUGCCCACGGGAGGACUCCUUUCGUGUUUCCACUGUGCCUGAGGGGGUUGUAUUUGUCCUCUCUGCAGAGGUGGUGGAAAGGAGCAAUGGGCGAUGCUUUGCAGCUGGGCACCGGUGCUGCUCCCAGUACAAUCAGAGCCGUGGGGCCGGGGAGUGCAGCCCGCCUCCUCCUCCUCCUCCCUCGGCACCAUUCCGGUGUUUGCCGUUCCUGCCUCGCCGGCCGCAUUGCCAAAGCCAUCAGGUGUCAUACGGCGAGCCAGGAGUGCCAGCAGCACUGGGGCCAGCUGGAAAACAUCCACCGGCCCUCACUGUGCACCACCACUCAGUCAACAGGCUUCACUGCCGCCGGCUCCUGCCGGCUCCCCUGUUCUCCUGGGCAGAGUCACACUCACCAAUACCAGCAUACUCAAGGAGACACAGAGUCUUGUUGAAUACUUUGGCUUACAGCUUGUUAGGCAAGAAGGGGUUUCCAACACUGGCAACACACAUCCCGUUAGAUCUGUAUGGUUACAUACAACACCUCUGCCCUCAGCAAGGAAAGAAAGCGCUUCUGCAACGCUUCCACCUCACAUGGUUACAUACAACACUUCUGGCUUUUCUUUUUCCCUGUUAUCCCUUGUGUGUUUGAUUUUUUAAUUUUCUCUAUAUAUUUUUUACUCUAUAUUCUUGAAACAUAACUUCCACAGAUAUUCCAGGGCACAGCCAUUUCAGGUGUAAAAAAGGAUCUCCACAUCCCAUGUUUCACCAACAAAGCAAUCAAAGCGUUUUGGGUACCAGAUUCUACUUGGGCAGAACUAGAAUGUAGCCUGUAUAUUUCAUACCAAAUCCAAUUUAUGAAAGGAGAGGAAGUGUCAUUAAUAGCUUUAAUAAAGGAGUGUGUGUGAGAGAGAGAAAAAGAGAGGGAGUGAGAAAGAGAGAAGAACGAGGGGCAUCUUGGAAGGUGAAAAGUCUAGUUUUCAGGUAGUUAAAAAUGAACCAAUGGGUGAAACAUUUUUUUAAAUGAGCUGUAAAAUCCUUUUAAAAACAGAAGGGGUGAAAUGGAGAGAACAUUUUAUGCCUUUCAACUGCCCACGAGCCCAGCAUACUCUGGAUGGAAAGUGGAAGUUAAUAUACACUGCACCAAAAUUAUGAAGGGAAGGUGGGGGCAGAGCUGUGAAACACUACUGCAGUCACAAAGGAAAAGAUGCCCCUGCCCCAGCUCUGGAUCUCAAGCAGUUCUUUCUCUACAGUAUCAUCUCAGCCCAGUAACCCCACAAAAGCCCUGAGCCGUUGUGUUCCUUCACUGUACGGUUUCUGUAAUAAGAGUGUUAAUCCAUGUUAAUCUUUGUGAAAAUUCUUGUGUGCAACAGUAUUUUAUUGUGUACUGCUUUUUACCUAUGUGAAUUGUCCCUUUCUGUUUUCUUUUUUUUCUUUCCUUCCUCUUUUUUCUUUUUUUUUCUUUUAGUAAUAUGUCUUUCUUCUUUUAAAAGAAAAAACAAAAACAAACUGAUGUGUUGUAGACCUAUAUGUAACCUAUUCCUUAGUCUCAUAUUAUAGGUAUGUUAUAAGAAUGGAUAUUUUACUUGGCUUUAGAAUGUUUUACAAGAAAACUAAUUCUUAACCAAUCAAGUUCUUGCUACUAAAAAAAAAAAAAAUGCUUGUGUUUUUCAUCAUGACGUUGUGUGCUUCUAAUUAAUAAUCAUUUUCGUUGUAGAAAAAUGGAGUGAAUUUAUAUUAGUCUUGGAAACUAAUAAUAGCAUUGUAAAUUUAUGAGAUGAUUUUAACAGAAAAUACAUUAUAGAAGAAUAUAGUUAUUUUAAUUGUAAUAUUACUAACUGUAGGGUGAGAAAGGAGGUCCCGUUGUGGUGAACUAUGUUAUAGCUUGUUAUUCACGGUUUCUUUUUGAUCAUUUUUUCGGUCUCUGAGGUGAAACGAGUUAUUAAUCAGAAUUUGUCAACUCACAUAUGCAUAUUGUAUAUGUGUAGAAAUGUAAUCACACUUUGUCUUGGAAUUACAUUAAACUGUUUUAAGUCACUGCAAAGUUUGUGUGUCUCUGUCUUCUUGCUAGCUAAAGUUUGGUCUGAACAUUUGGUUAGUUUUCAGAUACUAUUAUUUAUUCUCCUCAGUCUGUUGAAAAAAAAGAGCACUAAUAGUAUCAUUAAUAAUAAAUAGUCUUCUUUUUGAGGUAACAUGUUUAGAUUUGUGAGAUGUAUUUUUUUCUCCCAGGGCAGAAGAGCAUCUGCAUUCAGAUGCUUCACUGAAGCACAGGAGGCUGCUUAGAGCUGCUGUGUUCAGCUCAGUCGAGAGCUGCCUGCUAUAUCCCACUGUGCCAAAUGGAGUGUGGUCAUCAGCUGCAAGUACAGGUCUUGAUUUUCUUUUAGCCUGAGCCCUCAGUUCAUUUGUUCCCUUUCCUCUCUUUGCCAAGUCCCACCUGACCUUUGGAAGGCUCAUAUAGACAUUAAAAUGCUGAAACCACCAUGUGUUGGCAAUUGCCAUACCUGCCUUUUUGGGCUGUGCCUGAUUGUUACCAGGAGGUCUGUACAAGAGCAAGCUGGAGGCAUCUGCAAAGGGUCUCCUAUUAUACCAUAGUGUCACCUUGGAGGAGGCCAAUGGCUCCUCAACAGCUGCUCUUAACAGAGGGAGAAUAAGACCAGCUUGGGUUUGUUGCUGACCUUUCCUGAUGUGGUGACUCCUACACAAGCCUACUGGGUUUCCAGCCCAUGGGGUUCAUCUUGUUAGGUCAGCUCCUGCCUUCUUAGGGAUAGCCAGAGGGGUGCUCCAGGAGUUGCCCAUGGUCCAGGGUCACACUCUGUGUUCAGUGUCUGGCAAGUGGCUUCUGCAAAAACUUCUGGUAACUGCUGGAUGGCCCUGCAGGACACUGCCAGACGAGGGGAUUGCCUCAGGAUGCAAACCUGGAGUUAGCAUGGGAGGCUCAUUUUAUCAGUGAGUACUGGCACCUUAGUUUUACAGCCUCCUGCCUCAUGUUUCCUUGAAAUAAGCAGGGAGCACUGCAGAAACUGUUGUGAAUUUCUAGGUGGAUAUGAAACUUUUGGUAGCAGGAGGUCAUGGACCCUUUUCUCCCCACUCCCUUAAACUGGUUGAGACCCAACUGAGCAAUAACAGUUAAAACUCUGUCUGUCCAGCAAAGCAAUUAAGUCAGUGUUUAAUUUAAAAUCAUGUGUCCUAUUAAACAGCUAACAGGUAAUUGCAGUGUGAAGUACUCUACGAGAAAUGAGGAGUUUACUUGGUCAUUGUAUGAGAGACAUUAGUGAAUGAUCUAAUGUCAGCAACAGAUGUAAAUCCAGAAGAGAUAGCUUAACUAGUGUAGUUGCUCCAUGUGUGUGUUGUCUUAUGGUGUCUUCUUUAUUUGUUUCUUCUUUUUGUAAAACUUAUCAAUAAAACUGUAAAAAAAAUUUGUCACUCUGGUGUCUGAGACCAAAACACAUUAAAAAUGCAUUGUAGUUGGAGAAUGUACUUUCUGACCCUUUUUUUUUUCCCAGGAGGGGAGAGCAGCAGCAGGGUUUCUCUUAACAGAGCCUGCAAUGCCAUGUGAGAGGAAACAGUGAGGGGUUCAGCCACCAUAUAAGAGGCUGGGUAGGAUCUUCUCAAACCACUGGAGCUGCAGUAAAUGUCAGCACCUGGAGACCACAAUUCUGAGCAGAUGGUACAAGUUACCACCAACAAACUUGAGCAAAUCGAGCUCUUUCUGGGCCACAAGGAAUCUCUGCUGAUGCUUUCAGUGUUCACCUCAGCUUAACUGGUUUAUUCUAGGGGAGACCCGCGACACUGCUGAGCAUCCCAAAAAGGAAGAGGAGGAGUGCAGGCAUCUUUUACACCUCCAGGGAAAUGCAAGGAUAAACUCUGAUCUGAGGCUGAUUGAUGCUAAUGAAAGGACUCCAGCAGACUUUGGAAUAGACCUGCAGAAAAUAUGUUUAUUCAGCCAAAGGAAAUCAGAAGAUGGAACAAAGAGACAGCAUUUGUAUCUAAGUCUUACCAGAAAACACGAUUGUUUCAACAGUUUCCACAGAGCACAAACACACCUGUUCAAGGCCAAGUGCCAAACCCAACUCUCUCUUAAAGACUGGCAUUUUCUGACUCAUCUCAACACUGCUGUUUAUCCAUUCCUUUUGUCUAGCUGUGCUUUUCAGCAGUUCAAUGUCUUCUUUAUUCUCCCUGGACUCAGGAGAAAUUAACACUCGCCUGCCUGAAGGUAUGUGGGAAAAUAUUCCUCAAUAUACUACUUGUAACAGCACUGUGAUGUUUGAAACUGCAUUGGUACAUUUGUUGUUGUUUUCUUCCUAUUUGCUUCCCUCUAACAUUCUUCUGCACAGCCUGACAGGAAAAUAGCCAAAAAAGAAAACUGAGAUAUUGUUGACAUUCAUAAAAAUAACUUGUCUUCUCCAUCAUUUUUUUUCACACAGAGAUCUUACUACUUCUGUUACAACCACCCCAAAUCACUGGCAAGUGAUUUCAGCAGAAAAAUAUUUCAGGGAUUUUAGUAUGGUGCAUCUUUCUGGGCUACAUUUAGGUGCAAUGCUUUAAACAAAUGGAGCCAAAUGGCCAAAAAUUCCAGACUUCCCAGGCUUGUAGUGAGCUCUGUCCUGAGGCGUAAGCUGGUGGAGGUCCUAGAAGAAGCACAAUGGCUCUGAUGCCAGAUCUACUGGACAUGUGCUCAGUGGUUCCAUGAUGGUGAUUGGAUGAGAACACCCUCUGUGUAUACAUGCAUGGUUUGGCCAUCCUCAGAAUCUUCCUGUUACGGCUCAUACACACACAGAACAAAAAAAAACCUUCAGCAAGCUCCAAGAAUGAGUGCCUAGAAGAGAAAGGGCUGAAGCAUCUCUCCCUCACUAUAAGCAGCAAUUGUUUUAUUAAUGUAGUCUACCUUGUUUCUCUCUCCCUAGAAGUAUACUCUGAGGAAUGUUUCAGUUUUUACAUAUCUGACUUUUCUUCGGUCGUUUGAUAUUUCAAAGGUUUGCAAGGUAAGUCUGCUUGCCUUUAAGCGAGCUAUUGUUAGGCUACUUAUAAAAGCGUGACAAUUACCCAAAGUGGUGAAUUAUCAAAAUGUGCCAAAUGGCAGCCCUCUUCCCCAUCAGCUUUUUGUGAGAAUGUGGCUUUUCUUUCCCUUCCUGCAAUUGCUGUGUUCCAUCCUCCCUCUUGUGCACACUGAGGAGCGGAAUACUAAUAUAAUUCCGCUGAAUUUGAGGGGAAUACCUCAAUUACAAAUUACAUUGGUGAUGUAAUUCUGUCCUUCACACAGUCACCCUGAUCAGAGUUGUAUUUAAAGGCAUAAAAUCAGUGCAAGUGUCAGAAGCUAUGAACUAUCCAGGUGGAACUCAUUAGACCUUAGGGGACCACACAGAUCUCUAACUUGCCUGAAGGUACCCAAGUUUAACCUCCUGAGACUCCAAAAUUUUCUCUCUGGCUGUGACUUCAUCUAAUUUAUUCUUUAGUUGAUGCAGAGAUUUUGCCUUCUAUCUUCCUCCUACACAGUUUCUCAUCUUUUGCAUCCUCCUUUUUUUUUCCUCAUUAUUGCUUUUGCUCUUCAGUUGCAUGUUAUAAUAAAGUGUGAUUUUUUUCCCCAAAGCAUUUCUGCAUGAGGUUGUACUGAAGCUAAGGCUGCGGUGAAAGGAAAGAUACCACAAAUGUAUCAAAUGGUAAUUUAAAUUGCACUGCUGGGUAAUUUAAAAAAUAAUAUGUCUUAUGUUAGUCAAACAAUAGAGCAUUUGAUAAGCUAUCUGCAGCUGAGAGGAUCAUUUUCAAAGGGCUGUCCACCUGCAGCACAAAAUUCAAGGGUAGAAGGUAAACUUCAGACUGAACUCCCAGCCAGGAAUCCUCGACACCAUUUCCUUUUCUUUCUUUGUGGAGGAGGUCAGGAUGCAAGGGCUGGAGACUAGGACAUUUGACAAGAUUCUUUUUAUUGUAGCAAGAAACAGAAAAAUGGAAAGGAGGCAUAAGGAUGGCGAGGGAUGGAAAAGAUUGAUAAUUGUUUCCUUGGCAACUGAAACUGUGGAGCUUCAUGCAGGAAUCCCUGAGAAAAAUCCUAGAUGAUCAUAAUGGUCUCUUCUGCCUUCAGACUCUGUUCCAGGCUAAGUUUACACAUCACAGUGUGGUGCUGCAUAAAGGGAUCGAGUUAGUGCUAAAAGGAAACCAGAAGCUGUAUGGUUGUAAGAAAUCCUCGGGAAGAAGAGAAGCACUGUUGUCUCCCUUUCAUAAAAUGGGGAACAUUUUAUAAUGCAAAAGAUUAAAAGAUUGAAUAACUUGGCAGAGAUUAUUAAAAAUGUCUUUUCAACACAGAGGACAGUGACAUACAAGUCUCUGCUAUCUCUCACAUCACUGCAAUGAGAACACAGCCCCCCUCAACUGACACUGCACUGUCCAAGGAAUUAGCAGAAGGGCUAAGGGAGCAGAGAGCAGGUGAAGUGGUUGCUGUUUAAUAAAUACUGUUUGCCCAUCAUGUAGUUCAGUGCUACACAGGGCAGCACAAAAGGAUCCCAGUCCUGCAGUGUUGGGUUGCAGCAGCAGUGAAUCUUCAUUAGUGGAUUUAAAUGUAAGAACUGGGGCAUAUAUAUGAAUAUUAAUGAAAGAAAGAUUGACUAACUUCAUGCUAUUAAAAGAUUUCUAGUCUCAGAGAGUAGGUGGAGCCUUUUGAAAAAUGUGUAAUGAAAUACAAUAUGUGAUACACAAGAAGCUCUAAGAAUGUAUUUUGAUCCCUUCCAAUUUUCUGUUUAUAUAGUGCUUUAGAAGUGGGAAAUGGAAAGAUGCCUUCAUUUGAACAUUUUUCUUUUUUCUCCUCUAUAUUGCACAUGCAGGUGUUUGUUAAAGCAGAAUUUCAUGGCCAUACAUUCUGGGGAGCCACUUGGCAGUGGGCAGCUAGUAUUGAUUUCUGCUCCAAAAAUAGGGCAUCAAAUGCUUGUAUAUUUAUAGAUGUAUGGAUGCAUGUAUAUAUGCAUUAUAAAUAUAUAUAUAUAUAUGAAUGAGUGUUGCAAAGGUGUAAAAGACAGAGGAAUGUUAAAUCAGAAUAGUAAUUAAUUACCUUGCCUGUUCCAAUGCAAACUUUUGUGCCAGCAGUGCACGUAACAAAUGAAUGCUAGAAAGCUUUUCUAUAGUUCCAUGCCUGUGAAAGGCAUUCCUGAGAAGAGGCUGAUGUAUUACUACACAUUCACUAGAAACCAGAGAUUCAGGGCAGCAGAAUUUCCAGACAGUCAUGUGAGAAUGAAGUGCUGCAGCAUCAAGGCAGCCAGUCCACUUAUUUCUGUCUGUUCAAAAUGUUAAAUAAUUGCCAAGGCCUGCAUUGCUAUCAGUUACUUCUCAGAGAGGCUUAAUGAGAGGAAACCAGCUUUGUGAGUGAUUCCCUGUGCAAGUGAGUGAAGAUGUUACACGUGUCUGUCUCAUGCUCUGCAAGGAGCAAGUGAUUGUGGCAGCUCUAACAAAGCAGACAGAGAAAAUGAAAGGACCCUUUGAGAGCCAAUAUAUAUUUCUUUUACUGUUUGACAUCUGUGAUAGGGAUGGAAGGCAUAUAGCAAAAAAUGAAAUUUGUUUUCCCCAAGACAUUUUUCUGGGCUACCAGCAAUUUCACAGAUAAAAUACUGUAUAAGUAAAAUACCAGAGUGGCCAUGUUUGCAGAUUCAGUGACAGGGGAUUAAUGUAGAGCAUGCCAGCCAAAAUAAGAUGGGAGAGUCCUGCCUUACUAUCUGAAGUAUUCCUUAAAGAUAACUGAUAACAGGGUAUCUAUGUGUGUUUAUCAGGAUGUGUGAUAAUAUAAGUAGUAUAUAAAAGGUGAAAUGCAAAGAUAAAACUGUGUUUGUUCUUUAUUGCUCUCAUGUUUAGAAACUUACUGUUUUUGUUUUUUUUCUUACCUCUUUUUCUGAUUAUUUUUCACCCUUUAAUAACCAAAAUAUGAUGUUUCCAAUUCCUCUGCUUUAAUGAAGGUCAUUUGGAGACCUGAAUAAUGAUAUCAGAUAAAUGUGUAGCUUUUAUAAGGAACAGAAAUUUCACUGCCUGAAGAGGCAGC